GGGGAAUUUUGCGCAAUGGGCGGAAGCCUGACGCAGCAAUACCGCGUGAGUGAUGAAGGCUCUCGGGUCGUAAAGCUCUGUCAGAGGGGAAGAACCUCCUGUCGCCUAAUACGCGGCAGGCCUGACGGUACCC
rnacentral:rRNA from 1 species